CUGGUUCUUCAUCACAGCAGAAGCAUUUCGCAGCUCCGCGGAGUAGUUCUCGUCGUUCCCAGCCAUCACGGUGACCACGGUCCCAUCGGGCACUUCUCCUAAGGCCACCACCUUGAAGGCCACCGGGAGGGUCUUAUUGCAGCGCCAGUGCGAGGGCAGCACGGAGCACAGGAAGUUGGGGCUGUCGGUGCGGACCAACUCGGCCGGGUGGUCGGCGAUGAUCUCCACCAUGGUGCGGUUAUCGUGCGGCCGCAGCCGGGGCACGGCGGCUUCUUGCUGCUGUUGCUGUUGCUGCUGCUGCUGCUGUUGGGCCACUACGACCGGGCUGACCUCGCUCAUCUUGCCGGGCUGCAGGCUGCUGGAGGGGGGGCUGAACCUCCGGCUGGUGCUGGGAUCUACGGGAAUACGCAUCACAACAGCCACAAAGGGGGCGAAGGCAGCCGGCUGUGCUCGCUGCUUCAAGAGGAGCGUCACUCGCAAAGAGCGAAGGGCAAACGUCCCGAUUUCCUCCGAAGAAGUCUUCCUCCUCCGGACGAACAGACGGCAAAGAAAAAGGGAGCAAAGCCGAAGCGCUGUGCCGGGGGCUGCGGUGCGAGGCGCGGUGCGGGGCUGAGCGCCGGGCGCGGCCCGUGAGGAGGAUCGGGGCUCAGGGCGAGUCCAGCGCCCGGCUUCCCAACGAGCAGAGAGCGGGCAGCAUCGUCAGGAGGGGGCAAAAAGAGGGGAAGAGGCACCCCAGAGCAGCCCUCUGCGGGCUGAUUCCGAAACUAUGCCCGAGUGAACGGCGGGGAGAGGCAGCCUCGGUGCGGUCCGGUCCUUUUAAUUGAGUCGCUGCUGGAUCCGAGUCCGGGGAGCUGAACCGGGUAACUGAAAUCGCUCUUUUUGUUUGUUUGUUUGUUUUUUUCCGCCCUCGACGAACAACAGCAGCAAAAAAAUAGAAAAUAAAAAUAAAAAAAAUAAAAAAAGCAUUGAAGUGUCGCUUUGUCGGAGUUAUUUUUGUUUUUCGCUCUCAGAAAAUUGCGUUGUUAAAGAAUGAGAAACAAUAAAAAGGCAAAAAAACAACAGAACUUCUUUUGGGUGC
rnacentral:lncRNA from 1 species